rnacentral:rRNA from 1 species
UACGUAGGGUCCGAGCGUUGUCCGGAAUUAUUGGGCGUAAAGGGCUCGUAGGCGGUUCGUCACGUCGGGAGUGAAAACUCGGGGCUUAACCCCGAGCCUGCAGUGGAUACGGGCAGACUAGAGGUAGGUAGGGGGAGAAUGGAAUUCCCGGUGUAGCGGUGAAAUGCGCAGAUAUCGGGAGGAACACCGGUGGCGAAGGCGGUUCUCUGGGCCUUACCUGACGCUGAGGAGCGAAAGCGUGGGGAGCGAACAGG